AUUCGUGCGUCGUGGACACAAAUGAGUUGCUGCAGAUUCUCUGUGCACUUGGCCUCUCUGUGUCUGUGCGUUGCCCGUCUAUGUAAGGUCAGCAGCUUAAGUUAAGGUGAUGUUAUUGUAGACCGGUAAAGCCAUGGACGUUCAUUGAUAAAAUCAGCGGCAACGCCCUCAGCAGACCAGAAGGCAAUGUAAAGAACCGUCCAUAACGUAUCAUUAUGGAGUAUUCUGGGAGCAAACCUGCAGAUUGCUGUGAAUUGUAAAUGUGAUUUAGAUAACAACUACAACAAACAUAUACUUUCACAGUUAUCCCUACGCGGAUAAAAAGUAUCCCAACAUCGAUUAAACCUAUUCACCGUUCUAAUCUAUAAGAGAGAGAAAACAAAACUAAUAAUUUUGGAGGCUCUGAAAUGUAGGAAUAUAAUCAAUAACACUAGAUUGACGAUCCCAAAGUCGAGAUUUUAACAUUAUUAAAAAUAUAUGGUCGCUAAUAACGCGAAAUAGAACCGCAGAUCAGACUAAGACAAGAGACGAAACGAGCACGAGGUAACAAAGCAGUGAAAAAGUUCCAUUAAAGUAUCUCCAAACCUUGGUGGAUUCCUUUCCAAUCCGCCUCGAUAAGGUCUUAGAUACCAUUCAUUAAUUUUAAGUUUAAUAAGAAUUUAUUAAACACAAUAUAUUUAGUUGAUAAGCAACAUUUUGCCAAAAUACUUAUGCCACCUCUUGAAUCUCUUUACUUUUAAAUUUAAAUAAAAAAUAUAGUAUAUUUCAAUACUACAAAUGAAAAAUUGUUA